CGCCCAGACUCCUACGGGAGGCAGCAGUGGGGAAUAUUGCACAAUGGGGGAAACCCUGAUGCAGCGACGCCGCGUGAGUGAAGAAGUAUUUCGGUAUGUAAAGCUCUAUCAGCAGGAAAGAAAAUGACGGUACCUGACUAAGAAGCCCCGGCUAACUACGUGCCAGCAGCCGCGGUAAUACGUAGGGGGCAAGCGUUAUCCGGAUUUACUGGGUGUAAAGGGAGCGUAGACGGUGAAGCAAGUCUGAAGUGAAAGGCGGGGGCUCAACCCCCGGAACUGCUUUGGAAACUGAGCAGCUAGAGUGCAGGAGAGGUAAGUGGAAUUCCUAGUGUAGCGGUGAAAUGCGUAGAUAUUAGGAGGAACACCAGUGGCGAAGGCGGCUUACUGGACUGUAACUGACGUUGAGGCUCGAAAGCGUGGGGAGCAAACAGGAUUAGAUACCCGAGUA
rnacentral:rRNA from 1 species